rnacentral:rRNA from 1 species
AACGAACGCUGGCGGCAGGCCUAACACAUGCAAGUCGAACGCUGUAGCAAUACAGAGUGGCAGACGGGUGAGUAACGCGUGGGAACCUUCCCAGUGGUACGGAAUAGCUCAGGGAAACUUGAGGUAAUACCGUAUAAGCCCCUUGGGGGAAAGAUUUAUCGCCAUUGGAUGGGCCCGCGUCGGAUUAGCUAGUUGGUGAGGUAAUGGCUCACCAAGGCGACGAUCCGUAGCUGGUUUGAGAGAAUGACCAGCCACACUGGGACUGAGACACGGCCCAGACUCCUACGGGAGGCAGCAGUGGGGAAUAUUGGACAAUGGGCGCAAGCCUGACCCAGCCAUGCCGCGUGAGUGACGAAGGCCUUAGGGUUGUAAAGCUCUUUUAGCAGGGACGAUAAUGACGGUACCUGCAGAAUAAGCUCCGGCUAACUUCGUGCCAGCAGCCGCAGUAA